AGCUCCAGCUGCAGAUGCUCCUGCAGAAGUAGCAGCCGAAGCUGCAGCAGUUAGUUCAGAGUCGGCUGCAGGCGAUGCCACCACAGCAGAGGCUCCUGCAGCUGAGCCCACCCCUGCACAAUCUGAAGUCCUCUCAUCUCCAGCCCCUGCUGCUGAACCAGCUCCACAACCUUCACUGACGUCUGCAAAUGAAGUCUCCCCGGACGCCGAGACUGAAACAGCCAAAAAGGAGGACUGAUUGAAAUGAGCGAAUCACCAAAAUAACAGAGUUCCCAUAGCUACCAUUGGAGGAGAACUGGAAGAAGAACAAGAUGAAGCAAAAAGAAAGCUUUUCAUUUUCAGUAUUGCAUCACCAGCACUCACCAAACUUCACAACACCUUUAAUACUCAACGUGCCUUAAUAGCUUUUCUGUCGGGGGAAAAGAUCAGGAUUUUUCCUAUAUUUGUAUAUAAACCUUCACAGAGCAGGGAGAGGAGUUUCCCUACUGGGACGUCAAGUGCCUGUAGCCCCACAUCUCAGCCUGAAGACCAAAAGUGCUCUGAAAAACACUUGGUGCGACGUGAUAGUCGGGUGUAAAACUCUGUGAAAUCUGUCAGCUCUUGCGAUAGAGAUUGUUAACUCUUCAGGGAAAGUGUGCUGAGAUGCAGAAAAGGAUGCCUGCAGUAAAAAACCCUCACUAUUUAAAGUAGUUACUUCUGAGAAAAUGAGCCAAACACGACUGUGAAUAAUAAAAUAGUGAUAAAAAUAUCAAACUGCAGAAGAAAUAACCAACCAGAGUCACACGGCAUGCUCUCUUGCACCUUUGCCUCCUAUACUGAUCAUGUUUUCACGGAUUGAACUUCAAGAAAAAACAAAAAUCUAUCAAAAAUGUUUGCACAUUAUAUAAUAGCAGCCUUUCUAAUAAGGCUAAUUGUUUUUAUAGGAAUACUACAUUUUGGAUAACAGCACACAGUAUAAUACACACUUCUUAAAGAAAAAAAACACCUUUUUUGAUAUUUCAGCUGUUUACAUCAAAUUAAUCAGGAACAAAAUGCACUUUUGUUUUAUGUAAAAGAAACAAAAAUAAUAAUUCACUGCCAUGUUGAGGAUGCAGAUGAUGUGACGUGUUGUCGAACUCUUCUGUGAAGCCAUCUUGCAACAGCUGCGCCGCAGCUGGAACGUGUUCGUGAAACUCUCUUCCUCGGUAAUAAAUGUCUUCUUAGCGUAAAUUUGAAGGUGUAUAAUUGGCCAUGCAGAUGUCUUAGACUCUUAGAUCUUAGGGCGAGAACGUUACAUGUAUGUUUAACACACAGUCACAAAUCAACUCGGUUGACGUUUAGCUUCUGCACGCCGUGUUAAAUAAGUGUACAUGACGUGAACGGCCACUUGGACUGGAUAUGAUGUGAUGAACGUUGUGGGAACAAAUUUCUCUUUAGUUGAUUAUUUCCGUCUUGUCUUCUCUAUAAUAUUUCUUCCCUGAACCAUGUCUGUAAUUUUCUAACCUUUUAGUGUACAGAAUAAAGUCUUACU